rnacentral:rRNA from 1 species
ACGCUCGACACCUACGUGAGGCAGCAGUCGGGAAUAUUGCGCAAUGGAGGAAACUCUGACGCAGUGACGCCGCGUGCAGGAAGAAGGUUUUCGGAUUGUAAACUGCUUUAGACAGGGAAGAAAGAAAUGACAGUACCUGUAGAAUAAGCUCCGGCUAACUACGUGCCAACAGCCGCCGGUAAGUACUGAGCGGGCCGUGGCGAACGGACG